rnacentral:misc_RNA from 1 species
GUUGAUACCUCCUGUAAUAGCUUUUACUUCAUUUGCAUUUGUGAUUGCUAGUUAUAAUUCAGCAGUUUCAUUUCAUUGGUUGCCUGAGUUUUUCCCUAUCUUGAGAGCUAGUCCACAGCCUUAUCAGUUGACAGCUCCAGCUCUGGCACUUCUAUUGGUGUUUAGGACGGAGGCGUCUUACUCGAGGUUCGAAGCAGGGAAGAAGGCUUGGACUAAAGUCAUUGCUGGAACUAAUGAUUUUGCUAGGCAGGUCAUUGCUUGUGUUGAUAAGAGGGAUGAUGUGCUCAAAGAGGCACUUUUGCAGUAUAUCAUGGCAUUUCCAGUUGCCUUAAAGUGCCACAUAGUAUAUGACUCGGAUAUAGCAAGUGAUCUCAAAA